rnacentral:snoRNA from 1 species
AUGAAAUGAGGAGUCAUAGCACUGGGCACUGAAUUAUUAAUAAUUUCACAUGAGUGACACUGCUUUAUAUGGUAGGCCUCAGAAACCUACCGUGACUGAUCAU